rnacentral:rRNA from 1 species
GACGAACGCUGGCGGCGUGCUUAACACAUGCAAGUCGAGCGGUAAGGCCCUUUCGGGGGUACACGAGCGGCGAACGGGUGAGUAACACGUGGGUGACCUGCCCUUAGCUCUGGGAUAAGCCUGGGAAACUGGGUCUAAUACCGGAUAUGACUCCAUAACGCAUGUUGUGGGGUGGAAAGCCUUGUGCGGCUAGGGAUGGGCCCGCGGCCUAUCAGCUUGUUGGUGGGGUGAUGGCCACCAAGGCGACGACGGGUAGCCGGCCUGAGAGGGCGACCGGCCACACUGGGACUGAGACACGGCCCAGACUCCUACGGGAGGCAGCAGUGGGGAAUCUUGCGCAAUGGGCGAAAGCCUGACGCAGCGACGCCGCGUGGGGGA